CAAGAGGUGUACACGUUCACAAGAAAACGGUAAACUCUGACCUUUUAUCACGUGACCAAUGUCUUGAACUUAGACGCCAUUAAAUCGUUUGCCGUUCAACUGAAUGUGUAUUCAAAUUUAUCAUGUGUAUUUAACACGUUCAUUGGUCGUGUUAAAAUAGAUUCUUCUUCUCGACCAAUGAAAAAAUUUGUUAUAUAAAUGGUCAAUAAACAUCAUUGGGCCACAAACUUGGAAAACACUUUCUCAAAGAAACAAGAUAUUGUACAGCUUGUAAUCGACUGUAGCCACUUCUGUGCAUUAUUCAAGAAGGAGAACAUUAUCAAUAUCCAUAAUCUUUCGGCAAGUCUAUGUUAUAAACUUAAUACACAUAGAAUCUGACUUUUAAAGUAAUAACUCAGAUAUAUAGGAUACAAGGAGAUGAUCAUAAACUGAUAUUGUAUAUAAUGUGGCUACUGAACAGUGCUUUGCCAAAUUUUUGUAUGUAUGUAUAUAGACAGAUAAACAGGGAGAGACAGGGUAUUUUUCCCGCUUAACUUAUACUGUAUAAAGUAUCCUUUUAGAUUUUAAGUUUAUUCCCGCUUAACUUUUACUGAAUAAAGGUAUCCUCUUAAGAUUUUAAAUUUAUUCGUACAUAUAAAUUUUUUAAUUAAUUUCCCCUAUUUAUACUGUUUAAAAGUGUCCUUUUAGAUUUUAAAUUUAUUAGUAUAAAUAAAUUUUUAAAUUGUGUGACACAUUUCAAUACACAUACACAGCUGUAUGUGGUGUUCCAUGAAUGGAAGGAUAUCCAUGCAAUAGAAGAAGAAGAAGAUCACACACAAGAUGCGUAAAUACAAUGUAUUUGCGAUCUCUUUCUUCAAUUUCUGCACUGAAGUUUUUAAAAUUUUUAAUUUUCUUCAAAAAAUAUCUAUCUUUUUGAUGAUCAUUUACGCUAUUAUCUGAUAACAUAGUCUGAUAAGGCUGAGAUAAGCGUGGCUCAGGUAAAACUAAUUAAAUUAAGUUAGCAAGUAAUUUUUGCACAUGGAUUGGACCUAUGCGGUAUGGACUUUGCUUGUUCAUUGUUGAAGGCCGUACAGUGACCUAUAGUUGUUAAUUUCUGUGUCAUUUGGUCUCUUGUGGAGAGUUGUCUCAUUGGCAAUCAUACCACAUCUUUUUUUAAGUUACAGGUCAAGUUUUAAUAUUGGUCCAGUCUGGUGAUUUUGUGCAGAGCUAUGGUCCUUGGUAUAUUGUUUACACCAUGACAAGUUAUAGAUCAAGUUAGAAUUUUGUUCCAAUACAAUGAAUUUUUAACAGUUUGUAACCAGUGGAGCUGCACUUUGGUGUCUACGAGGACUAUUGCCCACUAAACAGGAGACAACAUUAGGGAAGCUUUUUAAUGUGAUUGAGUUGCUGACCAGUGAAUCUUAUCAUGAAAACGAAUAGGAAUACAUUAUUGAAUCUACAAGUGAAGCUGUUUCAUUGGUGGAAAGAGAUUUCCCUAUUGCAUUACAGACUAUUACAACACAUCUACUUCAUCAUAUACCAGAAGGAUUUGCAAAUUUUGGUCCUCUUUAUGGGAGGUGGUUGUUUCCAUUUGAAAGAGUAAACAGUUGGAUAACCCGUCAAGCUUUAAAUAAAAACAAGAUUGAAGCAAUAAUCAUGGAGACUUAUGCUAUUUACGAUUGGUGUGUCUACAUGAUAAUGUCUGGAAAGGUCAAACAAGAUGAUAUUGACAUUGGUAAACUGGAGAGACUUCUUUUAGAAGAUGAAAAAGAUGACAGUUGUAGUACAAAUGAGAAAAAAUUCUCUAUUGAUGAUAACAUUUUGAGGGAAAUGGCCAAUAUUUAUGACUUUUGUUUGAUUUCAAGAAUGAGAAAGGAAGGCAAGGAACUUGCUUCAUGCACAAGAUCCUAUGGAAACACUAUAUAUGGAAACACUGGCAGGAAAAUCAAAUUUUCACCUUAUUCCAAUAACAAAUCUUCAAAUUCAUACGUGUAUGCUGUAGAUCAACAUUCAACUGAUUCAUUUCUUGACAGUAUGAUAUUUGGUUCAAUUUGUAAGAUUUUUGAGCAUGUUUAGAGAGGACAAACAUACACAUGGGUUUUACUGGAUAUAUUUGAUGAUGUUAGAUAUGAAGAUGGAUUCUGGAGUGUGUUAGAGAGUAAAACCUCACAGAAAGCUGUUAUGUUGAAAGAUGUCAGUGCUCCUCAGAUUGUUGGGAGAGAUAAUGAUCGACUUCAUUAUGUCAGUACAUGUAUCUAGCUUGUAAUUGAUCAGUUUUCUUUUCUUACUUUAUGUAUAUAGACAAUGUUUUAAAUUUCUCCAAAACUGCUGUUAAAAUUUUACUUCCUUGAUACCAAUGCGUAUUAAUGUUAAAUAAAAGCUCCUUUUCUUAAAAAUACCAUGAGAAUCUUUAUUUCAGACUGAAAAGGUCAAUAUAUUUACAUGAAAUAGAAUAUUCUGUCCAUAUUUACACAUAUAACUGUCUGAAUACUGUGAAUUCAGAAAUUAUUGCGUGCAUUUUUUUAUUGCGAUUUUGUCAUUUUAGACUAAUUUUAAUUUUUGCGAUAUUCAGAAAUUUCCUGUUUGAUUCAAAAAUAAAUUUUUAAAAUGCGAGUUUUAAUUAUUGCGAUGAUAACCCUGUCGCAUUUUUCGCAAUAAUAAAAACAUCGCAAUAAUUUCUGAAUAUACAGUAUUCAUGAUAUGUUUAGAUAUGAGUAGUUAUUUAUUUGUUAUUUUAUAUUGGAAUGUAAGGUUAAAGUGAUUAAAGGAAAAUCUCAAAUUCUUAAAGCUAUUUAGUAAGAUAGGUUUUUCUUGUAGUUAUCUUUAAUAAUUUUUUGUACAUGUGUAUUCCUUCUUACCCAUGAUACUUGGCCAGAAGUAUGGCUGUUUCUAUAGGAAAAUGGAAUACCACCAGAUUUCGUGUACAUAGAAUUUUUUUUUAUUCUAAGUCUUAAAGUCUCAGAGAAUUUUAACUAUUUGUCAGUACAAUCUGUACAUACAAUAUAUAUAUAUAUAAAUAAAUUUUAUUUUGAGUGUUGCUCAUCGAUUGAACCUGUACAUAAUUACAAAUAAAUUUAAGUGAUCUCUUAAAAAUGAAAUUAAUGCCCAGCCAAAACAAAGUAAAAGGAUAAGUAUAAAAUUUGGCAUACAGAUAAGGCUAACUUGUACUUAUUUUAAGUGAAUAAUGUCGUAACAUCUUUAUUUCUUAUUAUGUAUUUAGAAACAUUUUCAAACUCUAGCUCAUAUAUUUUAUACUUAUCAACAAAGUCACACACUUAUUAUUUUCUAUGAAGUUAAAAAAAAAAUUUGAAUUGAAAAACAAAAACAAAAAAAAUUUAUAGAUUUAUAACUAGUUAAUAUUUUUGACACAAUAAAUUUUGAAGUUCAACUUAUUCGUAAGGAAAAACGUGGUGUUUUUUUUUUGUAUUGCUGAGUUUAUAAAAGUGUAUCAUAUGAUCAUUGAUAAUAAUUAUUUCUUAAUUUGCCAGGGUAUUUUUACAUGUGACUGCACUAGUUUAUACAUUUGAUCUUGCUGUAUUGAAUUACUAGUCUUUCAGAUGUGUAAUUGUUACAUUUUGUUCAAAAAAUAUGAAUAAAACUAUUCUUGCACACAAA